AUGAACGCUGACAGAAUGCUUAACACAUGCAAGUCUUUGGCGAAUCUGUGCUUGCACAGGCUAGCCAAGGCGGACGGGGGAGUAACGCGUAAAGAACUUGCCCUGCAGACAGGGAUAACAGACGGAAACGACUGAUAACACCUGAUACAGUUGCCGGCACGCAUGUGCCUGGCAAUGAAAAGAGAUGCUGCAGGAGAGCUUUGCGUCCUAUUAGCUUGUUGGUGAGGUGACGGCUCACCAAGGCGAUGAUAGGUAGCCGGCCUGAGAGGGUGAACGGCCACAAGGGGACUGAGAUACGGCCCUUACUCCUACGGGAGGCAGCAGUGGGGAAUAUUGGACAAUGGGGGCAACCCUGAUCCAGCAAUUCUGUGUGCACGAAGAAGGUUUUCGGAUUGUAAAGUGCUUUCAGCAGGGAAGAAGAAAGUGACGGUACCUGCAGAAGAAGCGACGGCUAAAUACGUG
rnacentral:rRNA from 1 species